rnacentral:lncRNA from 1 species
UCGAUUACGAGUCGAAAACGUCGACUUUGUAGUCGACUUUCUCGCAAAAGUCGAGUUUACAACUUUUCAUAUUUCAAUUCCAAUUUUUUUAUAAUUGGCUUCAAAACACCUUCAAUUCUUCAUAAAUAUAUAAAACAGAUUCGCUGCUAGUUCUAUUGAGAACAGUGUAGACUGCUAGGAAUAUUGGCCUAUGAUAUAUCUAGAGUAUUCGAGCAUCCACCUGAAGUAUUUUGGAACCUCUAUCUAGCCAAUUUAGGUUAACACUCUGCACUGGAUAUACACCACUGCUCGAGCAUUUCAAUGUGAUAAGGUGAUAAGUGACACUUUCACUGUCAACUGUGAAACAUUCUUUAAUUUCUCCCAUUCGUGUUUCGUCAGUUUGGGAGACCAUUGCAUUCCGACAGACUUUGGAUUCUACAGGUGUGUCUGGAGGAUUACUUCAUUUAUGUUUUAGCUUUUCAAUACAUCAUGUACCAAAAUUCGAGUGUACCAUGUACCAAUUUCCUCAAGUAUGACUGCCUUUGACAACUUGACUAAAAUCAAAUAUGAAUUUACUUCCAUGAAAAUACAAGAAGAAUGCAAGAAUGAA